AUGUUGGGUUAAGUCCCGCAACGAGCGCAACCCCUAUGUUAGUUGCCAUCAUUCAGUUGGGCACUCUAGCGAGACUGCCGGUAAUAAACCGGAGGAAGUGGGGAUGACGUCAAAUCAUCAUGCCCCUUAUGACCUGGGCUACACACGUGCUACAAUGGUUGGUACAACGAGUUGCGAGUCGGUGACGGCGAGCUAAUACUCUUAAAGCCAAUCUCAGUUCGGAUUGUAGGCUGCAACUCGCCUACAUGAAGUCGGAAUCGCUAGUAAUCGCGGAUCAGCACGCCGCGGUGAAUACGUUCCCGGGCCUU
rnacentral:rRNA from 1 species